rnacentral:rRNA from 1 species
GUAUGGUGCAAGCGUUAUCCGGAUUUACUGGGUGUAAAGGGAGCGUAGACGGAUUUGCAAGUCUGAAGUGAAAGCCCGGGGCUCAACCCCGGGACUGCUUUGGAAACUGUAGGUCUUGAGUGCUGGAGAGGUAAGUGGAAUUCCUAGUGUAGCGGUGAAAUGCGUAGAUAUUAGGAGGAACACCAGUGGCGAAGGCGGCUUACUGGACAGUAACUGACGUUGAGGCUCGAAAGCGUGGGGAGCAAACAGGAUUAGAUACCCUGGUAGUCCACGCCGUAAACGAUGACUGCUAGGUGUCGGGUGGCAAAGCCAUUCGGUGCCGCAGCUAACGCAAUAAGCAGUCCACCUGGGGAGUACGUUCGCAAGAAUG